rnacentral:rRNA from 1 species
CCUACGGGAGGCAGCAGUGGGGAAUAUUGGACAAUGGGGGCAACCCUGAUCCAGCAAUUCUGUGUGCACGAAGACGGUUUUCGGAUUGUAAAGUGCUUUCAGCAGGGAAGAAGUAAGUGACGGUACCUGCAGAAGAAGCGACGGCUAAAUACGUGCCAGCAGCCGCGGUAAUACGUAUGUCGCGAGCGUUAUCCGGAAUUAUUGGGCAUAAAGGGCAUCUAGGCGGCCUAUCAAGUCAGGGGUGAAAACCUGCGGCUCAACCGCAGGCCUGCCUUUGAAACUGACAGGCUGGAGUACCGGAGAGGUGGACGGAACUGCACGAGUAGAGGUGAAAUUCGUAGAUAUGUGCAGGAAUGCCGAUGAUGAAGAUAGUUCACUGGACGGUAACUGACGCUGAAGUGCGAAAGCCGGGGGAGCGAACAGGAUUAGAUACCCUGGUAGUC